AACUGGGGUGGGAUUUGUGGAAGUGGGAUUGAAGCUCAUCAAACAAGCUCCUAAGUGGAUCCCAGGUCAAAUACAACAGUUGGAUACCAUUUAGCACCUUAUUGAACAUAAUCGAACCAGCUUGGUCUCCACUUCUUCUAGCUUUGUGCUGAGAGUGAUUGGAGUGUUCGGUUCUCUUGUCCAUUGUACUUCACUUCGCUUUAGUCAGCUUUAGGAUGCUUGCAGGUUCUACCACUGGAAGUUACUUGCAACUUAGGGUUGCCAAUUUUCCCAAAAGGCAAAUUCUUAUACUCUGGGUCACUGUUAGCUGAUUAUAUGUAUUUUGAUGCUGACUGGAAUAAAGUACUAUUCAGAUGGUAUAAC